rnacentral:rRNA from 1 species
ACUGCUCAGUAACACGUGGAUAACCUGCCCUAAGGAAGGGGAUAACCCCGGGAAACUGGGGAUAAUACCCUAUAGGUUACAGAUGCUGGAAUGCCCUGUAACCCAAAGCUCCGGCGCCUUAGGAUGGAUCUGCGGCCGAUUAGGUUGUUGUUGGGGUAACGGCCCAACAAGCCAGUAAUCGGUACGGGUUGUGGGAGCAAGAGCCCGGAGUUGGAUUCUGAGACACGAAUCCAGGCCCUACGGGGCGCAGCAGGCGCGAAAACUUUACAAUGCGGGCAACCGUGAUAAGGGAACCUCGAGUGCCUGUACAUGCAGGCUGUUCGGGUGUCUAAAACACACCUGAAGAAAGGGCCGGGCAAGACCGGUGCCAGCAGCCGCGGUAAUACGAU